rnacentral:rRNA from 1 species
UACCAGCAGCCCGAGUGGUGAUCGUUAUUAUUGGGCCUAAAGCGUCCGUAGCCGGUCUAGUAAAUCCUUGGAUAAAUCGUACAGCUUAACUGUACGGCUCCCGAGGAGACUGCUAGACUUGGGACUGGCUGAGAGGUCGGAGGUACUCCAGGGGUAGAGGUGAAAUUCUGUAAUCCUUGGGGGACCACCAGUGGCGAAGGCGUCCGACUAGAACGGGUCCGACGGUAAGGGACGAAGCCCUGGGGCGCAAACCGGAUUAGAUACCCGGGUAGUCCAGGGUGUAAACGCUGCGGGCUUGGUGUUGGGGGUCCUACGAGGGCGUCCAGUGCCGAAGAGAAGUUGUUAAGCCCGCCGCCUGGGGAGUACGAUCGCAAGACUGAAACUUAAAGGAAUUGGCGGGGGAGCACCGCAACGGGUGGAGCGUGCGGUUUAAUUGGAUUCAACACCGGAAAACUCACCGGGGGCGACUGUUAUAUGAAGGCCAAGCUGAUGACUUUGCCAGAUUUUCAGAGAGGUGGUGCAUGGCCGCCGUCAGUUCGUACCGCAAGGCGUUCUGUUAAGUCAGAUAACGAACGAGACCCCUACCCUUAAUUGCCAUCUUCUUCUCAGGAAGGGGGGAACAUUAAGGGGACCGCUGGCGCUAAGUCAGAGGAAGGAGGGGGCAACGGUAGGUCAGUAUGCCCCGAAUCUCCCGGGCAACACGCGCGCUACAAAGGCUAGGACAAUGAGUUCCGACCCCGAAAGGGGUAGGUAAUCUUUAAACCUAGUUAUAGUUCGGAUUGAGGACUGCAACCCGUCCUCAUGAAGCUGGAAUCCGUAGUAAUCGCGGGUCAACAACCCGCGGUGAAUAUGCCCCUGCUCCU